GAAUUGAGGGUGAUCUGGCUGUGACAUCUGUCACCCCAUUGAUCACCAGGGUAGAUUCGGCUGAUCUGGCUGGCUAGGUGGGUGUCCCCUUCCUCCAUCACCGCUCCAUAUGCAUCCCUCCCAAAGCUGCAUGCUCUGUCAAAGAGAAUGACCUGCCCUGAACAGAGGAGGACCAAACACUCUUAGGUCAAGGGUAUAUGAGUAGCUGUGCUCCCUUGCUAGAACCUCCAAACAAGCUCUCAAGUCUUUACCCCUUUUUAAAGCAUUAACUUUAUGAUUCUCUAUACACUUUUUCUUCUAU
rnacentral:snRNA from 1 species